rnacentral:misc_RNA from 1 species
GUGAUGAUGAUCUGUGUAGGGAAAUAUGGAAGGCCUGUUCUGGUUCAUUGUUGGAUGUUUCAAAGGCUGGGGAGAGAGUAUACUACUUUCCAAGACUUCAUGUGGAGCAGCUGGAGCAAUCAUCCAACCAGGAGCUGAUUGAAAAACUACAAUUGUCCAACUUACCUCCAAAGAUCCUUUGUCGUGUUCUUCAUAUUCGUCUUCUGGUAUGCGUGA